rnacentral:rRNA from 1 species
UUUAUGGAGAGUUUGAUCCUGGCUCAGGAUGAACGCUGGCGGCGUGCCUAAUACAUGCAAGUCGAGCGAACAGACGGGGAGCUUGCUCCCCCGACGUUAGCGGCGGACGGGUGAGUAACACGUGGGUAACCUACCUAUAAGACUGGAAUAACUCCGGGAAACCGGGGCUAAUGCCGGAUAACAUGUUGGACCGCAUGGUCCUACAGUGAAAGACGGUUUUGCUGUCACUUAUAGAUGGACCCGCGCCGUAUUAGCUAGUUGGUAAGGUAACGGCUUACCAAGGCAACGAUACGUAGCCGACCUGAGAGGGUGAUCGGCCGCACUGGAACUGAGACACGGUCCAGACUCCUACGGGAGGCAGCAGUAGGGAAUCUUCCGCAAUGGGCGAAAGCCUGACGGAGCAACGCCGCGUGAGUGAUGAAGGCCUUCGGGUCGUAAAACUCUGUUAUUAGGGAAGAACA